GAGUUACCGCUCUACAACCCUUUGUGAACAUACCUAACUGUUGCUUCGGCGGGCAGAGGUUCCCUCGCGGAACCCCUCCCGGUGACGCCCUCACGGGCGUCGCGCCCGCCGGAGGAUACCAAACUCUAUUUUAACGACGUUUCUUCUGAGUGGCACAAGCAAAUAAUUAAAACUUUUAACAACGGAUCUCUUGGUUCU
rnacentral:misc_RNA from 1 species